rnacentral:rRNA from 1 species
AAAUUGAAGAGUUUGAUCAUGGCUCAGAUUGAACGCUGGCGGCAGGCCUAACACAUGCAAGUCGAACGGUAACAGGAAGCAGCUUGCUGCUUUGCUGACGAGUGGCGGACGGGUGAGUAAUGUCUGGGAAACUGCCUGAUGGAGGGUGAUAACUACUGGAAACGGUAGAUAAUACCGCAUAACGUCGCAAGACCAAAGAGGGGGACCUGCGGGCCUCUUGCCAUCGGAUGUGCCCAGAUGGGAUUAGCUAGUAGGUGGGGUAACGGCUCACCUAGG